GGUUUCCUCCUCAACUUCACCAGUCUUUCAAGCCGAUUUGAGAAGUCAGAAAGCACUCGAGAGGAGCUCACGAAAACCCUACGUUAAUCAGUCAGAGAGAGAAGGCGAGAAUCCCAAACAGCGAUGAAUAAGGGAAUACUGCUACUGUUGUUCAUUGCCUUGUUUAUGGUCCUGUCCCCUGUUAGUGCUCUCGUCAUCACCAAGAAGAGAAACUUUCCUGGCGAGAGACGCUUGGGAAUUACAAAUUAUGGGCAGCAUGAAUUUGGUCCAAAUGGUUACCGAAGAAGACCUCACUACAGACGGGGGUAAUGAGACAAUCCGCCAGUUCAAAAUAUUAAGAUGACGUUGACAGACCCUCCCAAGUAGCCUGAGUCAUGACACCGAAACUUGUUGAAAUUACAUUGUCUCAGAGAAGAAACGAUGACUUAGAAUUACUUUUAACUGGCUUUAUGUUUUAUUUUUAAGUGAAUAGUUAUUAAAUCCUAGUCUUAAUGUGUGCUUGUAUGUUUGUUCUAUUUGAAUGUAACUUUUUUUUCUUUUAUUGAAGUUAUUAUAGAAUAUAUAUUUCUAUAUAAAAACUACGAUAAAG